rnacentral:rRNA from 1 species
ACAAAUAGUUUACUAGGUGUUUCUUAGUGGCGGACGGGUUAGUAACACGUGAGUAACAUGCCUCGAAGUGGGGGAUAGCCUUUCGAAAGAGAGAUUAAUACCGCAUGUGGUCUUCGGACCAAAGGUGCCUUCGGGUGCCGCUUUGAGAUUGGCUCGCGGCCUAUCAGCUAGUUGGUGAGGUAACGGCUCACCAAGGCAACGACGGGUAGCUGUUCUGAGAGGAAGAUCAGCAACACUGGAACUGAGACACGGUCCAGACACCUACGGGUGGCAGCAGUCGAGAAUCAUUCACAAUGGACGAAAGUCUGAUGGUGCAACGCCGCGUGGAGGAUGAAGGCCCUAGGGUCGUAAACUCCUGUCAUAUAAGAGUAAGACAUAGUUGGUUAAUACCCAGUUA